CUACGGGAUGCUCCAGUUAGGAAUAAUCUACAAUGCGCGCAAGCGUGAUAGUUUGAGCCAGAGUGUUUAUCUAUUGAUAAGCUUUUGUGGAAUGUAAAAAGUUCCACGAAUAAGGACUGGGUAAGACUAGUGCCAGCCGCCGCGGUAAUACUAGCGGUCCAAGUCGCAGCCAUUUUUAUUGGGUCUAAAACAUCCGUAGCUUGCUUUUUAAGUUUCUUGUGAAAUUUUAUGUCUUAAGCAUAGAGCGUGCAAGAAGUACUGAAAAGCUAGAGACUGGGAGACGUAAGAAGUACGUUUAAAGUAGCAGUAAAAUGCUUUAAUCUUAGACGGACUAACAAUAGCGAAGGCAUCUUACGAGAACAGUUCUGACAGUCAGGGAUGAAGGCUAGGGUCGUGAAACGGAUUAGAUACCCUCGUAGUC
rnacentral:rRNA from 1 species